UACGUAGGGGGCAAGCGUUGUCCGGAAUCAUUGGGCGUAAAGAGCGUGUAGGCGGUCCGGUAAGUCGGCUGUGAAAGUCCAGGGCUCAACCCUGGGAUGCCGGUCGAUACUGCCGGACUAGAGUUCGGAAGAGGCGAGUGGAAUUCCCGGUGUAGCGGUGAAAUGCGCAGAUAUCGGGAGGAACACCUAUGGCGAAGGCAGCUCGCUGGGACGUUACUGACGCUGAGACGCGAAAGCGUGGGGAGCAAACAGGGGA
rnacentral:rRNA from 1 species